rnacentral:rRNA from 1 species
CCUACGGGAGGCAGCAGUGGGGAAUCUUGCGCAAUGGGCGAAAGCCUGACGCAGCAACGCCGCGUGCGGGAAGAAGGCUUUCGGGCUGUAAACCGCUUUCAGCAGGAACGAAAAUGACGGUACCUGCAGAAGAAGGAGCGGCCAACUAUGUGCCAGCAGCCGCGGUGAUACAUAGGCUUCAAGCGUUGUCCGGAUUUAUUGGGCGUAAAGAGUUCGUAGGCGGUCGAGUAAGUCGGGUGUGAAAAUUCUGGGCUCAACCCAGAGACGCCACCCGAUACUGCUUGACUUGAGUUCGAUAGGGGAGUGGGGAAUUCCUAGUGUAGCGGUGAAAUGCGCAGAUAUUAGGAGGAACACCGGUGGCGAAGGCGCCACUCUGGAUCGAUACUGACGCUGAGGAACGAAAGCAUGGGUAGCAAACAGGAUUAGAUACCCUGGUAGUCCAUGCCGUAAACGGUGGGCACUAGGUGUGGGAUUCUAUUAACGAAUUCCGCGCCGUCGCUAACGCAUUAAGUGCCCCGCCUGGGGAGUACGGUCGCAAGCUAAACUCAAAGGAAUUGACGGCUGGAGACGNGCGACGACGACGACGAGGGAGAGG